GCGAGAGUGGCGGAAUUGGCAGACGCACUGGACUUAGGAUCCAGCGGUUUAUCCGUGGGGGUUCGACUCCCCCCUCUCGCACCA
rnacentral:tRNA from 1 species